GACGAACGCUGGCGGCGUGCUUAACACAUGCAAGUCGAACGGAGAGGCCCUGCUUUUGUGGGGUGCUCGAGUGGCGAACGGGUGAGUAACACGUGAGUAACCUGCCCUUGACUUUGGGAUAACUUCAGGAAACUGGGGCUAAUACCGGAUAGGAGCUCCUGCUGCAUGGUGGGGGUUGGAAAGUUUCGGCGGUUGGGGAUGGACUCGCGGCUUAUCAGCUUGUUGGUGGGGUAGUGGCUUACCAAGGCUUUGACGGGUAACCGGCCUGAGAGGGUGACCGGCCACAUUGGGACUGAGAUACGGCCCAGACUCCUACGGGAGGCAGCAGUGGGGAAUAUUGCACAAUGGGCGGAAGCCUGAUGCAGCAACGCCGCGUGCGGGAUGACGGCCUUCGGGUUGUAAACCGCUUUCGCCUGUGACGAAGCGUGAGUGACGGUAAUGGGUAAAGAAGCACCGGCUAACUACGUG
rnacentral:rRNA from 1 species